AACAAAACAAAAAAAAAAAAACCAAGGUGGUCCUUUACAAGGGAGAGACAUGGGCAAUAGGUUGUAUUCUAUGUAGGGGUGCCCGACUCUCCCUUUGACCCUUUUUCUUUCUCGUUAAGCGCAAUCAUCAAAAUACCACCAUCGAGGCAAGACACCGACAGCAACAGAAGUAGACAACAGAGAACCCUCACCUCACCCCCACCCAACCAACCAAAAUGAGGAAGGACGCUCCACCGCCCUCCGUCGCCAAAAUGCUGAGCUGCAUCGAGACCAAGACGUUAGUCGUCACCUUCCUUGCUCUGGGCCUCGUCAUGCUCAUGUGGAACCUCCCUCCCUACUACCAAAACCUCCUCUCCACCACCCGCACCUCCUGCUCCGCUGCCGCCUCCGCCGCUCUUUCUAUUACCAAUACAUCCUCUGCUAACUAUUCCUCAACCCCACUCGCUGCACAGAAGUAUUCCACCCCCAAAAUUAUUCCCAUUCCCGAUCCCAAUUCUCGAGUUUUCCGGCCCGUUGGCAACGCCGCCGCUCUGUUCGUCCUCAUGGGCGCCUACCGCGGCGGCCCCCGGACCUUCGCUGUGGUGGGCCUCGCCUCCAAGCCCAUUCACGUCUACGGUCGGCCCUGGUACAAAUGCGAGUGGAUCUCCAACAAUGGGUCAUCCAUUCGAGCCGUAGCCUUUAAGAUGCUUCCCGAUUGGGGGUACGGACGCGUCUACACCGUCGUCGUUGUCAAUUGCACCUUCCCUGUCAACCCGAAUGAAGACAACACAGGUGGGAAGCUCACUAUCAAUGCGUACUAUAGUCAGUCCCCGAGGAAGUACGAGAAAUUCACGGCCUUGGAGGAAGCACCGGGCUCUUACAACGAGUCCAAGUACCACCCGCCUUACCAGUACGAGUAUCUGUAUUGUGGGUCAUCUUUGUACGGGAAUCUGAGCGCCGCUAGGAUCAGGGAAUGGAUGGCUUACCACGCCUGGUUCUUCGGACCCAAAUCCCACUUCGUAUUUCACGACGCCGAUGGGGUGUCGCCGGAGGUGAGGGCGGCGCUGGAGCCGUGGGUGCGAGCUGGGAGGGCCACUGUGCAGGACAUAAAGGGUCAGGCGGAGUUCGAUGGGUAUUACUAUAACCAGUUCUUGGUGGUGAAUGACUGUCUACAUCGCUACCGACACUCUGCCAAUUGGACCUUUUACUUCGAUGUGGAUGAGUAUAUCUAUCUGCCCCACGGAAAUACGCUCGAAUCUGUCCUCAAUGACUUCUCCGAUUAUACUCAGUUCACUAUUGAGCAGAAUCCCAUGUCCAGUCUACUCUGCUUGAACGAUUCUACUCGGGAUUAUUCUAGGCAAUGGGGAUUCGAGAAGCUACUCUUCAGGGACUCAAGAACCGGAAUCCGGCGGGAUCGGAAGUACGCCAUUCAGGCCAAGAACGCCUAUGCGACCGGCGUGCACAUGUCGGAGAAUGUCGUUGGGAAGACAUUGCACAAGACCGAAACGAAGAUCCGAUAUUAUCACUACCACAACUCCAUAUCGGUGCUAGGCGAACCGUGCAGGGAAUUCCUCCCAGUUUCGGCCAAGAACAAUGUGACCUGGUACGACAAGCUCCCCUUCGUGUAUGAUGACAAUAUGAAGCAGCUGGCCAAUACCAUCAAGGAAUUCGAGCUUAAAACCAUCGGAAAUGUACAGCUCUAAGAUUAGCUAGGAGUGCCUUAGUGGUGCCCAAAAUGAUUUUUAUUGUGACCAACUGCACCGAAAUUCACAUUGUGGGCAAGCAAAUGCUACUGCAGAUGCGAUGAUGGCUUGCUACUCACACUUGGCGUGCAUUGUCAUCAUUGAUUGAUUGAUUCUUGGCUCAUAAAUUAAAUUAGGUUGCUCAAAGUCUACUCCUCUUUUCCUGGCUGGGGAUCCAUAUGACCCACCAAUCCAUGGGCGCUCAUGAGCGGUGAGAAACUGUUGCAAAAGAAAAGGGUGGGGGAGGACCCAACAAAGCUUUCGUUUGUCUAUAAACUAAGCGAUAAAAGGAGGAGUAUUGAAGCGGUAGACGUUGCUAACAAAAAGGCCAAGACUGAGAGAUUGAAAGAUAUUGCAGA